UUGGUAGACUAGGCGAUCGCCGCUGCACACUGGCAACAGAUGCGCAGGGGAGGAAAGUCCGGGCUACAUAGGGCAGCGUGCCAGCUAACGGCUGGGCAGGGUAACUUGACGACAAGUGCAGCAGAGAGCAGACCGCCUUUGGUGUCGCAAGACAUUAUCGGUAAGGGUGAAAGGGUGCGGUAAGAGCGCACCGCGUGAAUGGCAACAUCUCACGGCAGGGUAAACUCCACGCGUAGCAAGACCAAAUAGGCAUCGGCAUGGCGCGGCCCGCGUUCGAUGCGGGUAGGUUGCUUGAGCGUAUCAGCGAUGAUACGCCUAGAGGAAUGAUCGUCCACGACAGAACCCGGCUUAUCGGUCUACCAACUUU
rnacentral:RNase_P_RNA from 1 species